rnacentral:rRNA from 1 species
AUUUUAGCAUGGAAUAAUGAAAUGGGAAACUCACCAGGUCCAGACACAAAAAGGAUUGACAGAUUGAUAGCUCCUUCUUGAUCUUGUGGUUGGUGGUGCAUGGCCGUUCUUAGUUGGUGGAGUGAUUUGUCUGGUUAAUUCCGAUAACGAACGAGACCUUAACCUGCUAAAUAGACCCUCCGGCUUUGGCUGGAGGCUGUCUUCUUAGAGGGACUAUCAGCGUUUAGCUGAUGGAAGUUUGAGGCAAUAACAGGUCUGUGAUGCCCUUAGAUGUUCUGGGCCGCACGCGCGCUACACUGACAGAGCCAGCGAGUCUUUACCUUGGCCGGAAGGCCCGGGAAAUCUUGUGAAACUCUGUCGUGAUGGGGAUAGGGCAUUGCAAUAAUAGAAUAGGUUAGCAUGGAAUAAUGGAAUA